rnacentral:lncRNA from 1 species
GGUUUCACCAUGUUAGCCAGGAUGGUCUCGAUCUCCUGACCUCAUGAUCCACCCGCCUUGGCCUCCCAAAGUGCUGGGAUUACAGGCAUGAGCCAUUGCACCUGGCCUAAAUCUCUAUUAUGGCACAGAAAAGGUAUGAAAAUACACUUAAAGCCAGGUUCUCAGAUAUUAAAAUCUAUUAUGCUGUACUAUAACAAAAACAGCAUGGUACUGCCAUAGGAAUUGACUGUAGAAUAAAAUGGUGAGUCCUGAAAUACAUUCAUGAAUGUAUGGAAGAUUAACACUGAACAAAGGUGGAAUUUCAAUUUAGUGGAAAAAAUAGAAAUGUUUAAAUAAAAUUAAAACAGCUAGUUAUUCGCCUGGGACAAAAUCAUGUACAAAAAUAAAUUCCAGAUCUAUACAUUUUUUUUUGUUAAGAUGGAGUCUCACUCUGUUGCCCAGGCUGGAGUGUAGUGGCGCGAUCUCAGCUCACUGCAAGCUCCGCCUCCCGGGUUCACGCCAUUCUCCUGUUUCAGCCUCCUGAGUAGCUGGGACUAUAGGCACCUGCCACCAUGCCUGGCUAAUUUUUUGUAUUUUUAGUAGAGACGGGGUUUCACCGUGUUAGCCAGGAUGGGCCCGAUCUCCUGACCUUGUGAUCCACCCGCCUCGGCCCCCCAAAGUGCUGGGAUUACAGGUGUGAGCCACUGCGCCCAGCCUCCCAGAUCCAUAAUUUUUUUUUUAAGAAACCCAGAUGCUAUGAAGAAAAAGACAAAUUUCAUUAUAUUGAGAGUGAAAAUUUUCACAUCGAAGAGUUUACGAUUAACAGAGUCAAAUGACAACUCUAACAAAAAUAACUGUAAUACAUAAUAUUAAUGCAUAUUAUAUACAGAUAGCUCCCACAAAUUCAUAGGAAAAGGAUGAACAACCCAAUAUAAAAAUGGGCCAAGAAUAUCAAUAAGUCACAAGAGAGGCAAUCCAAAAAGCCAAUAAGCACACACUCAAGGGUAGUCAUGGAAAUUAAAAAAUGUAGAAAUAAGGUAUUAUUUCUUAUUGAUCAGAAGGGAAAAAAUUAAAAAGCCUGGUAAAAGCCACUGUGGUCAAAAAUUUAGAGAAAAGAGUUCACUUGCAUUGUGGGUUGAAAUAUGAUUUCUUAAGAUUAAAACCAUAUAUACUCUUCAACUUAACAAUCUCACUCCUGGGAAUUCAGCGCAUAGAAAUGAAGGCACCAGUAUGGAAGGCUACAUGUAUAAAGAUGUCUAUUAAAGUUUAGGGAAGACUAAUGGGGGUCCCCAUAAAAGAGUUUACAUAGCAGGCCUGAGACUACUAUGCUUACAGUGGUCUGUCUGUUGGUCCUUGGCUGGUGUCUGGGAACUUGCUGGUCAACAGCUCCCUACGUUGAUACAAAACUUUCCCUAAGUAAUAAGAUUGGUUUACUGUGUUUAAACUAUGUUUAUACAAAUAAUGUAGAUUGUGCUGAAUAUCUGAUUUCCCUUCUGAGAAUCUGGAAUUUUGGUACAUGAUAGGCAGAAGGUGCCUAAUGACCAGUUCCUGGUAAAAACUUUUGAGUACUGAGUCUCUAAGGAGCUCCCCUGGUAGACAACACUUGGCAUGUGUUGACACAGCUCAUUGCUGGAGGAAUUGAGUGCAUCUGGUGCCACUCUACUGGGAGAAGACUCUUGGAAGCCUGCUCCUGGUUUCCUCUGGAUCUCACUCCUUGUGCAUUUUCCCUUUGCUGAUUUUGCUUUGAUCCUCUCGCUGUAAUAAAUUCUACUCAUCAGUACAACACUAUGCUGAGUCCUGUGAAUCCUUCUAGUGAAUCAUCAAAACAGGAUAGUCUUGAGGACUCUCGACAUAGGGGGUGAGAAGAAAUGUGGGCAGAGAGGAAAAAUGUGGGGAAAAAAGAUAGUACAAAGUACUGCAGAAAAAGAUAAAGUUGAUCAUAGAAAUACACUCAUAUGAACUAUGAUCUUCUUUAUAUUAUUUUAGAUAUGUUUGUCUAUAUGCACAGAAAGAUAUCAAAAAGGAUGGCCACCACAAUGUUAAUGAUGUUACUUCUGGAUGGUGGGGUUUUAGGUGACUUUUUCACAUUUUCCCUUAUAUUUUUUGUAUGCUUUAAAUUUGUUCUUACAAUGAGCAUAAUUUAUUUAUAUUAUCAGUAUAGCUAUUUUUAUUUUAAAAGGAAAUAAAAAUCAAUUGUUGGAGAUUCUUGUUUAAAAUAACAGCUCCUGAUACUGUCUCUCCUAACUUCCCAUUAAAUUUCUAUAAGGAUACAGAAAAAGUAAAAACACACAUCACAUGGUUAGGUGACUGAUGACCCAUUCCGAAAAGCCCAGAGAAAUUUCCUCCAAUUUUAUGGCCUGUGGAGUUGAUCCAAAAAAACAUAAUCAGUAGGUCGCACAUAAGAUACCCUGGAAUGGUCUUCUUGAGCAUAGGGAAGGAGACCCUUAUAUUCCCUACUCCACUGCCUCAUGGUGAAGAAAUGCGAGAUCUGUCUCACAGAGAAGACUGGACAGCUUUCCCUUCACUGCAUAUGUGAUAAUUUUUGAAGCCACUGUCCCUUCUCUUUUAGAAUCUCUUUCCUAGACAGAGACUAAUUUCUCACCAGAAAAAAAGCAGAGGUAGGGACUGGUAAUGGCACCCUGCAUUUCUAGAAGCACAGUGCUGUCAGAGAGAACCAGGAAAGGAAGAAGCCUAGUGGCUGCAGCCCUAGUAGCACACCUGGAAUUACAUCUUUUUAUAUAUGAGCUGGGCUCAUCUUUGGCUAGCAGAGCUGCCACAGACUGAAGUCUGUGGGACACUGACAAUUGUGAAGGAAGUAAACAAACUAUCGCUGUAGAUUUAAAAAGAGGAAUCUACCGGGCACCAUGUAGAAAGAAAGUGAGUUCCAGGGUAGAGUGAUUAUGUAGUUUAUCCAUACUGGAACACUUUGAGAGUAAAAGGGGUACUAUUAAUAGUCACAACAGGCAAUUGCCAUAAACCAGGACUGUCCUAAGCAAACUGAGAGGUAUGGUCACCCUGGUUCAGAGUCUAACUCUGAGCUUGAAUCAAUCAAUCUCUUGAAUAGGUAGAAAGAAAAAAAGACAUAGUAACAGAUCUGGGGGCAGAGGAAUCUACCAAAAAAACCCUAAAAACAAGCCUACAGGUAAGUACUUGAGAUCCAAGGGUAAGGACUCCAGGACUUGAAGACAGAGAAGAACAGAUACUUGAAAAUAAUUUACUAUGGCAGAAAACAGAGAUCCAACAGAAACAUUUACAAGCAUUCUUGAGAAAUAGAACUGAAUGAAAGCAACAUUAAAAAAAAAUUAAUAGAAGGAAAAUGUUUUGGGAUGAAACAGAAUUUAGUAUUCCAGUCCAAAUGUUUUCCUGAGCUCUAGGCAAAAUAAAUAAAAAGAAACCAACACUUAGAAACAUCUUGGCAACUGGAAGAAAAAAUUCAUUAUUUAUACAUGAUAUAAUUAUUUACCUAGGAAAGCCAACAGAAUCAACAAAUAUAAAUCAAGAAAGGUUUUGUUCUAGAUUUAGAUAAAGCAACAUAAAUCAAUAUUAUUUCUCUGUACUAACACUGCCAUGUAGGAAACAUAAUAAAAAAAUUCACCCCAGCAACAAAAAUAAUAAAGUAUCUAGGAAUUAACCAUGAAUUCAUAGGGCCUAAGUCUAAAGUUCAAUAAAGAUGAUUUAAGUAAACCUAUAUUACACUCUUAAUAAGAUGAUUUAAUAUUGUAGAAAUGUUAAUCAUUUCAAAUUAAUCUAUAUUCAGUUCAAUCCUAAUAAAAAUUAUUGAAUUUAAUAAACUUAUGCACUUAAAAUGUAUACUGCAGAAUAAAGGUCUAUGUAUAGGUUAAUCAACCUUAAUAAAGAAGUAGAAAAGAUAAACUAACCCUCUAACACACUAAUAUAUAUAAUAAAAGCUGUGUUGCAUUAGUGCAAAAACAGGCAAAUAGAAAAAUGGAACAGAAUAGAGCACACAGAGACAGGAUGUGUGUGUAAGUGUGAAUAAAACUAUUCCCUAUCUACAUACAGGAACUUAAUAUAUAAUAAAAGUGGCACUGCAAAUCAAUGGGAAAAGGGCAGAUUGCUUAGUAGAUGAUAUUGAGAAAACUUUCUCACCAUAUGGAGAAAAAUAAAACUAGUUUCCUAUAUAAAACCAUGUAUGAAGGUGGAUUCUAAAUGAAUUAAAGACCUAAAUGUGAAAGGUAAAACCAUACAGUUCAUAGAAGAAAAUACAGAAUAUCUUUGUGACUGAGAGACAUGAAAAGCCUUCUUAAAGAAAAUUCCAAAUCACUAACUAUAAGGCAAAAUAUUGAAGACUUUGAUUAUGUCAAAAUUAAGAAUUCGGUCCACAAAGCAUCUUAUGGAUAAAGUUCAUUAGAAUGCUUACAGAAUAGGAGAAUAUAUAACAUCUAAAGUAAAUAAGAGGUUAAUGUUUGGAAUAUUGAAGGCAUUUCUGCUAAUCAACAAGAAAGUACCAGCUCGAGUAGAAAAACAAAGUAUGAAUAGACAGUUUACAGGAAAAUACAGCAAGCAAAGAAGCAUUUAAUGAGAUAAUCAAACUCAAAGGUAAUCAGAGAAAUACAAAGUAAAACAACAAUGAGAUAUCAUUCUAUCUAUUAAUCUGACAAAAUUUAGGUAGCUGGAAGAUACUGGUAGGGAUAUGGCACAUAGUAACCCUCAUAUACAGCUGUUGGCGGUGCAAACUGGCUCAUGCAAGAUAACCUGGCACUAUUUAUAUCAAUUAGGUAUACACAUGCCCUAUGACCCAGCAACUUUUCACCUAGGUAUAUAUCCCAAGGACAUCCUCACAGAGGUAUAUGAUUUUUCAUAUAGCUCUACAAUUUUUUGCAUUAUUUUAGUUCAUAUGGAAGAUAUGGGAAAGGGUAUGGGGGAUACAAAGAAAUACAUGAAUUAGUGAAUGAAAUGAGAAGGGGCCUUGCACAGAUCAAUGAUGACAGGUACAGCACCAUCAACUAACGAGCAUUGAGUCAGCACUGAGGUCAAGUGGUGGUGAGUAGGUAAUGAUAGGUGAAGGAGGCAAUUUCAAACAUGUUGGCAACAUUUUUUACUUACAAGAUUUAAAAGUCCUUUACGCAGCCGGGCGUGGUGGCUCACGCCUGUAAUCCCAGCACUUUGGGAGGCCGAGGUGGGCAGAUCACGAGGUCACGAGUUCGAGACCAGCCUGACCAACA